UACGUAGGGGGCAAGCGUUGUCCGGAAUUAUUGGGCGUAAAGAGCGCGUAGGCGGUCCGAUAAGUCGGCUGUGAAAGUCCAGGGCUCAACCCUGGAAAGCCGGCCGAUACUGUCGGACUAGAGUCCGGAAGAGGCAAGUGGAAUUCCCGGUGUAGCGGUGAAAUGCGCAGAUAUCGGGAGGAACACCAAUUGCGAAGGCAGCUUGCUGGGACGGUACUGACGCUGAGGCGCGAAAGCCAGGGGAGCAAACGGG
rnacentral:rRNA from 1 species